AUAACGGUCCUAAGGUAGCGAAAUUCCUUGUCGGGUAAGUUCCGACCUGCACGAAAGGUGUAACGAUCUGUGCGCUGUCUCGACGGUAGGCCCGGUGAAAUUGUGGUCCUGGUAAAGACGCCAGGUACCCGUGGUGGGACGGAAAGACCCCAUGGAGCUUUACUGUAACUUAGUAUUGAAUUUUGUCCUACGAUGCACAGGAUAGGUGGGAGGCAUUGAGAGUGGGAUUUUGGUUCCAUUUGAGCCGCCGUUGGGAUACCACCCUUUGUAUGAUGAAAUUCUAACCCGGAGGCGUUGAAACACGCGCGGGGACAUUGCUAGGCGGGCAGUUUGACUGGGGCGGUCGCCUCCCAAAGAGUAACGGAGGCGCGCAAAGGUCACCUCAGGGCGAAUGGAAACCGCCCUAAGAGAGCGUAAGCGUAUAAGGUGGCUUGACUGCGAGACUGACGAGUCGAGCAGGGACGAAAGUCGGUGCUAGUGAUCCGGUGGUGCUGAAUGGAAGGGCCAUCGCUCAACGGAUAAAAGCUACCCUGGGGAUAACAGGCUGAUCUCGCCCGAGAGUUCCAAUCGACGGCGUGGUUUGGCACCUCGAUGUCGGCUCAUCGCAUCCUGGGGCUGGAGCAGGUCCCAAGGGUUGGUCUGUUCGCCCAUUAAAGCGGUACGUGAGCUGGGUUUAGAACGUCGUGAGACAGUUCGGUCCCUAUCCACCAUGGGCGUAAGGUAUUUGAGGAGAGCUGUUCCUAGUACGAGAGGACCGGAAUGGACGAACCGCUGGUGUACCGGUUGUGGCGCCAGCUGCAAAAGCCGGGUAGCUAUGUUCGGCCGGGAUAACCGCUGAAAGCAUCUAAGUGGGAAGCCCCCUCCAAGAUGAGAUACCUGACCUUGAGAGAGGAUAAGCGGCCCGCGAGACGAGCGGGAAGAUAGGCCGGGGGUGUAAUCGCUGAGAGGCGUUGAGCUGACCGGUACUAAAGCUGCGAAACUUUAUUCUU
rnacentral:rRNA from 1 species